CCAGGCUGAAGACUUUGCCGGAUUAGCUGAGAGGUGGUGCAUGGCCGUCGUCAGUUCGUACUGUGAAGCAUCCUCGUUAAGUCAGGCAACGAGCGAGACCCACGCCCACAGUUGCCAGCGUACUCUCUGGAGUGACGGGUACACUGUGGGGACCGCCGGCUGCUAAAGCGGAGGAAGGAAUGGGCAACGGUAGGUCAGUAUGCCCCGAAUAUCCCGGGCUACACGCGAGCUACAAUGGUUGGUACAAUGGGUAUCUACCCCGAAACGGGGACGGGAAUCUCCUAAAACCAAUCUUAGUUCGGAUUGAGGGCUGCAACUCGCCCUCCAUGAAGCUGGAAUCCGUAGUAAUCGCGUUUCAACAGAACGCGGUGAAUACGUCCCUGCUCCUU
rnacentral:rRNA from 1 species